UACGAAGGGGGCUAGCGUUGUUCGGAAUUACUGGGCGUAAAGCGCACGUAGGCGGAUUUGUAAGUCAGGGGUGAAAUCCCGGGGCUCAACCUCGGAACUGCCUUUGAUACUGCAAGUCUUGAGUCCGAUAGAGGUGAGUGGAAUUCCUAGUGUAGAGGUGAAAUUCGUAGAUAUUAGGAAGAACACCAGUGGCGAAGGCGGCUCACUGGAUCGGUACUGACGCUGAGGUGCGAAAGCGUGGGAGCAAACAGG
rnacentral:rRNA from 1 species